rnacentral:rRNA from 1 species
GACAGAGGGUGCAAACGUUGUUCGGAAUUACUGGGCGUAAAGGGCGCGUAGGCGGCUUUGUAAGUCCGUUGUGAAAUCCCUCGGCUCAACCGAGGAACUGCGACGGAUACUGCUUGGCUUGAGUCCCGGAGAGGGUAGCGGAAUUCCCAGUGUAGCGGUGAAAAUGCGUAGAUAUCUGGAGGAACACCGGUGGCGAAGGCGGCAUCCUGGACCGGCAUUGACGCUGAGGCGCGAAAGCUAGGGGAGCAAACGGG